rnacentral:lncRNA from 1 species
UCUUGGGUGCGCACAUACUUUUCCAAUCGAAAAUAUACUUAAAAAUUUGAUGAAAAACAAGGAAAAUCACAAAAUUUUACAAAAUAUGCAAAUUAAGGCAUGAUUUGUUGCCAUGGUAACUUGUUCAAUGUCCAAAAUUAUUUUGUUUUUCUGAAUACCUUCUACCUGAGAUACUUUUCAGUAAUUUAAAAAUAUGUAUGAUAACUUUUAAAUUUGCAGUAAUUUUUAGGCCAAAUAAGGGCCUUAUUGCCCCUACUCCUUUAUAAAAUUAAUAAACAA